rnacentral:lncRNA from 1 species
GCUUGUUUCUUGCCUUCAUUGUGUUCUUCUUCCUUUAAAACAUAGUCACCUUUUGUGUGGUACUCAGUUUUUGUCUUGCAAACACAACCUCCAUUUCCAGCAGCUUCAAAUUUGAUAUCAUAGGUAAUUGAUUCCAAUUUGUCUCCAAGAACAUCACCUUCUAUAAGUGAAUAUUUUGUUACCAAAUUCUUGUCAUCAAUUGCAUGAAUCUUGUGCUUCAAGUACUUUAUUGGACCACCUGAUAUUAACAAAAAUAAUAUAAGUUUCGUAUAUUAUCGAUGUAACUAAUUUUUUAAGUUAAGUGAGUCAGGAUAUCUAUAGAUAUGUUAAAUGAACGAGUUGAAAUCUAUUGUAUUCUAUUAAAAACACAUCUAAAGUAUUCUAAUUUUUUGAGUUUUAUAUCUUCUUUUUUUAGUGAGUUUUAUAUCUAAACUAUCAAAUGUGUGAGUUUCUAUCACCAAAUAUUUAUCAAAAUAUACUUAAACUAUCCGUUGUUCAAUUUUUUUAUCUGAACAAUAAUGAUAUUUCAGGUAGAAAAAAUAGUUCAAAUGUGUUUCGAGAAAUAUUUGAUGAUAGUCCAUGUAUGGAACUCACAUGCAUAUCAAAACACACUUGAACUAUCAAUUUUUCACUUUUCUUAUUUGAUCAAUAGUGAUAUUUCAUGUAGAGAAAAUGAACGACUGAUAGUUCAAAUGUGUUUCGAGAAAUUUGAUGAUAGUCUAAGAUAGGAAACUCAUACACAUGAUAGUUCAAAUAUGAAACUCAAAAACUUGAUAUACUUUAAAUGUAUUUUUAACUCGUCACUCCAAUAUAAUAUAAUUAAUCGUAUACACUAACGAUAUACAAAAGAUAUUUAUACAAUCAGAUCGUUCAUUUAAACUAGCUAGGUAGUAAAAAUGAUAAAUGUAAAACUAAUUAUAUUACCUUCAACAAAGUUCAUCUUCUUGAUACUUCCAUCUCCCUCAGUCUCAACAUUCUUAACAUUUGGCAUCAAUUUAGGGAUAAGAUUGUCAGCAUCAACAACCAAAGCUUUGAACAACCUAGUAGGGGACACUGUGCUUGUGGCUUCAUGUGUAUAGGUAGUGACACCCAUAGUGUUAAUUUUCUUUCAACUUUUUUUUAGUAAUUAAAAAGAGAAUAUAUAUAAGAAGUGAAAUUAAUAUGCUAGCUAGUUUUGAGUUGUGGGAUGUAAUGUUUAAGUUUUAGAUGGUAUUUAUUUUUAUAGGGUAUAAAAUAGAGUGAGAGUUAAGAGUUUGAAGUCAUCACCAACCUUAGCUUUAAUGUUAAUUUCAAUAUUCAAAGUAGGCCAUUCUUGACCUCUAUAUUAUUUUUUCUAGAUGGUGAUGGUUAUCGCGUCGUAAGUAGUGAAAUUAGAAUUUAAAUUUUAUGCUUUAAAUUCAUUAUAUUUCGAAGUUAUGAGUUUAUACUAUCUAUUAUUUGUUGCACAUAAUUUUUAUGAAUUUAUUGUAUUUCACGUUAAAAAUAUUAGAUUCAAAUGAAUCUGUUACAUUCAUCUCUAUCACCGCUCUUAAUCGAAGUUUUUGAAUUAUGAAUUCUAAAGAUGAAAACAACUUUAUUCUUAAUCAGAUAUAUCUUAAAUUUGAUUCCUAAAUGAAGAUGAUUCUAAAAAAAAAUAUUUUUCUCUUUUAACAAACUUUACACUAUACAAAUUUUCAAAUUAAUCGAGAUUGAAAAUAAUAUCGAACAUCAGAUGAAAAAUGAAAAUAUAUAUUCCGGUUGCGUCACUUAGUUCAAAUUAAUUUGUUGGUUGUGGCGUUGGAUAACUUCAUGACAAAAUGGUCUAACAAUGAGGCCCGAUGACACAUUAAAGUAUACUCCAUAUCAAAAUUGUGUCAUAUAUAUCCAAAUGCUUUGUGUUUUUUCUUAGUAUUUAGAGUAAUAGAUAAUGAUAUUAAUUAAAAUCAAGAUAAAUUAUACAAAUAAAAUAAUUUUAAAUAAUAUUUGUUGAAUUUGGUUUUAAAUUAAACUUUGAUGGUAUGACUUUAUUACAAAAAAAUUGGGUAUUAUAAUUAUAAUAAAAAAUGAUUAUUGGACAUAAAAAAUUUGUGAAAGUGAAUAACUUUUUAUAUGAUACAAUUCAAAAGUUAAAGAAUUUUGUGUUUUUUUAUUUACAUAUUUUAUAAAUAUAAUAUUGUAUUUAGAUUUUAAUAUAAUCAAGACAAUCUACCUUGCUCAAGCGUUACUAACAAACGGACUCAGCCUGAGCUAUAAAAACUUUAUUUUUAGAUGGAUUCAAAAAAUAAAAAAUAAAAUUGUCCAACUUUAUUAAAUUACGAAUUGAUCUGGAUCGAUAUAACAAGUCAACAUAGUUGAUCAUUAAAUAUCUUUUAAAAAGUUUAAUUUGAAAAUAUAAAGUAAAAAAAAGUUACCUAACUUAUGAUAUUUUCACAUAAAAUAAGAUGAAUAAUAAUAAGUUAUUGCUUGUUGCCUUUUGGUAAUUGGGUGGGUAGGUGUGAAGGAUAAUAUAAAUUAAUUAAGGAUAUGGUUUUAAACGACUUUCCGCAUAUAGUUUCUGCAAACUGUUUUCUUUAUUUAUGUUUAGAAUAAAAAAUAAUUAUGAAUUUAAGUUAUAUAUAUAGUAAGUAUAAGAAAAUUUUAUAUUAUCAAUAUAUAUUUAUCUAUUAAUAUAAGUUAUAUGUUUUAUUUUUCAGAUUAUUUUUAAAUAUAUUUAAAUGAUCUAAUAAUAAUUUAUUAUCUUGAAAUAUUUUAUUUUGCCUUUUUUUUCGAACUCUUAUCGAUGUUUUUGUCUAAAAGUGAAAUCUUUUACAAGUGUAGAAAUAUUGACUAUAAGUAAAGCCAAUAUUGCUAAUGUGAAAGUAGGAAUUAUGUCAUGUUUGGAUGCAAAUUAUAAUAUAUAUCGUGCAACUCAUCAUAUACAUAUUCUAAUAUUAUUUAGGCGGAAUGACUUGGGAGACCCCUGUACUUGACUUCUUUUGUCAGUUGGACCCUCCUACCAUCACUUUGCCGAUCAAACCCUUAAACUCAUCAAAACACAAUAUUUUAAACUCCUCUGACCAUUGACCGAGCUUAUGUGACAUUAAUAUUGGUGAGUUGGAAAUAUGCGUGAUUACACGCGCUUAAAAACGAGUUAAAACAAUAUUUUACUUUUAAAAAAAUCAAUUUAACAAAAUUUUAAAAAAAAUCAUCUUCUUCAACCCUCCUUCACCCACACCCACCCUUUCUUCUUCUUCACCAGCCCUCUCUCCUCUACCCCUCACCACAGCCCUCACCUUUCUUCUUUCUCCGGCCCAUUCUUAUUUCUCCACCCCCACAUUCACUCUUCUCCGCCUCUUCUUCUUUUUUUUUUUUUUUAUACAAAUCAUUGUGAAGGAUGAUUGUGACUAUUGAAAAUUUUAAAACUCCAUUGAUAAGUUUGAAAAAGCUUAAAAAAUAAUAAAUGGGUCUUGUGAAUUUGUAAAAUUACUUAAAUUUUUUGAUUGGGGUUCAUUGAGUUUGUGUUGGUGAACUUGUAGUUGAAUUUACAAGUUAAAUCAAGAAGAAUUUGAUCUGAUGGGUAUGAAUCUAGUGCUCAAUUUGUGACCAAAUAUGAAGAAGAUGACUAUUUGAAAAGUUAAAGAAAUUAAAAAAUUGAUUUAUUUGAUUUUUUAAAUUUUUUUAGCACUUAAUUUCGCAUGUGGCACUAAAAAUGAUGUGGAAUUUCACGUGUAAUCGCGUCCAUUACACGAACUCUGACCAGAGGAGAAAAGGGUUUAAAAUGUUGUUUUCUAAUGAAUUUAAGGGUCUAGUUGGCAAAGUGAUGAGUAUGAGGGUUCAACUGACAAAAUGAGCCAAGUACAAGGGUCUUUCAGGUCAUUCUGCCUAUUAUUUAUACUAUUUUAAAAAUAUUUAUACUAAUUAGUAUGCUUGAGAUGUUGCACAUGUUUAAUAAAAGACAAUUAUUGGGAGAUCUCUAUUCUUAAUUAGAAAUCUCAAAUUUGAAUUGCCUUUUUGGAAAAAUAAUUUUUUUGUAGAGAGCAUCAUCUCUAGAAAAAGACCUGACAUUAUAUAAAUUUAAAUUUAAUCAGAUCCUAAUACGAAGAUCGAACAUGAAAAAAAUAAAAUCGUUCAUUCAUUAGAGACUGAAAGUUUUUUGCCUUGCGUUUACCCAACAAGUAUUGCUAAUUGAACCAUUAUUGAACUACAUAAAAUAUUUUAUUUGAAUAACUUUAAUAUUUCUUAGAUUAUGUUUAAUUUAUUAUUAUGAAAAUUAAUUAGUUUUGUCAUUUGAUUAUUUUAUAUUAUGUAUUACUAAUUUUUUUUCUCUUUUAUCAUAGUAAACAAAAAAAAAAGAAACUCUUAUCAGAUUGCUGUCUAGUCUAUUCCAUCUUUACUGACUCUUGUUGUGAUUAGGACAUCCAAAAUAUUUUCUCCAAAUUUGAGACCUAAUUUUAAUGUGGAACUUUGACAACGUCAAAGUAUGCAACGCCAUUAAUUUUGAUAUCUCAACAGAAUAUACCGAGUUCAAAUUCUAAAUUCACCUCUCUCCAUCUUCUAUAGGCUCGUUGAGAUAUCAGGAGAGAAAUAACUACAUACUCGGAUCCAUCAUCCAUGCUUAUUAGUUAUUAUGAUGAUAUCCUAAGAAGUAAGGAACUAUACUAUAGAUGGUCGAAAUUAGUUGUUUAUCACUCCUUUUGAUUCAAUUUAUGUGAUAUAGUUUGACUUGACACAAAAUUUAAGAGAACAUAAAAGACUUUUGAAACUUGUGAUCUAAAAUACGUUAUAAAUAUUUGUUGAAUAUACAAAUUUAGUGUUCCAAAAUCUCAAUAAUAAUGUUAGUUAGUAAAAUACACCUCUAAUUAAAUAUUUCGAGAUAUGUAAACGUCAACAAGGAUCAAGUAUUGUAAAACGGAGAAAAUAGGAUGAAUACUCACACAAAUAUAGACAUAUACUUUUUUUGUUGAAAAACCCCUAAAUUUGCCGUGAACUAUUAGUUUUGUUCCCAAACUAUUUUGACUGCCCGAAAAACACCUCUACUCAACUAACUGAACUUAGAGACGUUCAUAAUCUUGUCACAUGAGUAAAAUACACCCUUAAAUUCUCGUUAAGUUUAGUGGUGUUUUUAUUAAGAGUUUCAGAUUCCUAUACAAUUUUGAGACCACUUGCUAUGUCAUGUGAAAGAUCGGAAUAUAUUUAAAUUGAAUUAAUCAAAUAAAAAAGUGGUUUUAAAAUUGUCAAUAAUUUGAGAAUGAAACUAAUAAUUCAAUUCAAGUUUUGAAAAUUGUUGACGUCUUAAAAUUUUCACAAAUUGUGCCUUGGGCUUCAUAUAAUAUAAUUGAAAAGGAUAUAUCAAGGCUUGGUACAAGCAAAAAGAAAGCAAAGCUUUCAAUAUUAUUUAUUGGAAGUUCUUUCCAUGUCAUACAAUUGGAAAGAACAAAACACACAACAAAAAACUAUAACAAUGUAAAAACUCAAGCCCAUGGAACUUUUGAUCAAACUUUUUCGUCUCAGCUAAAAGUUUAAACUUUUUAGAAAUAACACACGUAUAUAUAAUUAUAUUUAAUUAUAUAAUAUCGCAACACGUCCUGAUCAUCUCUCACGUGUGGAUCUGAUUCAUAUUUCAUCACUUAAGCGUAGACAGAAGGAUUAGCAAGGAGGUACGCUUCGAUGGCCUUGAAUAGGUCAAUGGCUUUCCCUUUGCCUACAUUGUGUUCUUCUUCACUAACAACAUAAUCACCUUUUGUGUGAUACGUAGUUGUUGUCUUGCAAACACAACCUCCAUCUCCAGCAGCUUCAAAUUUGACAUCAUAGGCAAUUGAUUCCAAUUUGUCUCCAAGAACAUCACCUUCAAUAAGUGAAUAUUUUGUUUCUAAGUUCUUGUCAUCAAUCGCAUGAAUCUUGUGCUUCAAGUACUUAAUUGGACCACCU